rnacentral:rRNA from 1 species
UACGGAGGGGGCGAGCGUUGUCCGAAGUUACUGGGCGUAAAGCGCGCGUAGGCGGGUGGGUAAGUCCGCUGUGAAAGCCCGGAGCUCAACUCCGGAACUGCCAUUGAAACUGUAAGACUUGAGGAUGAGAGAGGUGAGUGGAAUUCCCAGUGUAGAGGUGAAAUUCGUAGAUAUUGGGAAGAACACCGGUGGCGAAGGCGGCUCACUGGCUCAUAUCUGACGCUCAGGCGCGACAGCGUGGGGAGCAAACAGG